rnacentral:rRNA from 1 species
UGGGGAAUAUUGGACAAUGGGGGCAACCCUGAUCCAGCAAUGCCGCGUGUGUGAAGAAGGUCUUCGGAUUGUAAAGCACUUUCGACGGGGACGAUGAUGACGGUACCCGUAGAAGAAGCCCCGGCUAACUUCGUGCCAGCAGCCGCGGUAAUACGAAGGGGGCUAGCGUUGCUCGGAAUGACUGGGCGUAAAGGGCGUGUAGGCGGUUUACACAGUCAGAUGUGAAAUCCCCGGGCUUAACCUGGGAGCUGCAUUUGAUACGUGUAGACUAGAGUGUGAGAGAGGGUUGUGGAAUUCCCAGUGUAGAGGUGAAAUUCGUAGAUAUUGGGAAGAACACCGGUGGCGAAGGCGGCAACCUGGCUCAUGACUGACGCUGAGGCGCGAAAGCGUGGGGAGCAAACAGGUUAGAUACCCUGGUAGUCCACGCUGUAAACGAUGUGUGCUAGAUGUUGGGUAACUUUGUUAUU